GGCAGCCUCAGCCAGCCCAGGGCCCUGCUUCCUGGGCCUCUGCACGGACUUCAGGACAACUCCAAAGUCAAUGUUUACCCACCUCACUGGCCUUCGGGAAAGCCAGAGUAUGGGAGUGCGGUGGACGUGACCUGCUUUGUCUCUCCACUCCAAGCGUGGUGUCCUCACCCCCAGCCACAGGGCCCAAGUCCUCCUCCAAAUACAUCCAGGUGGAGCAGAGUGGUGAGCCAGGCAGCUGGGAGCUGCCAUCCGGCGAAGCCAGUAGAUAAGACCAGUCCCAGAGGUUGAGGCUGCAUGCAAGAGAACAUGUGACAGGGGCGCCUGGGUGGCUCAGUCGUUAAGCGUCUGCCUUCAGCUCAGGUCAUGAUCCCAGAGUCCUGGGAUCGAGUCCUGCAUCGGGCUCCCUGCUCAGCGGGGAG
rnacentral:lncRNA from 1 species